CUUACGACUCUCAGCAACGGAUAUCUCGGCUCCCGCAACGAUGAAGAACGCAGCGAAAUGCGAUACCUAGUGUGAAUUGCAGAAUUCCGCGAAUCAUCGAGUUUUUGAACGCAUAUUGCGCCCGAGGUUCACGCCGAGGGCACGUCUGCCUGAGCGUCACCGCACCUCUCACCUCUUCCCCUUCCUUCGGGGAGGAGCGUGGAUCUGACCGCCCGGGAA
rnacentral:rRNA from 1 species